rnacentral:rRNA from 1 species
UACGUAGGGUGCGAACGUUGUUCGGAAUCACUGGGCAUAAAGGGCGCGUAGGCGGUCUGAUAAGUCAGGUGUGAAAUCCCUCGGCCUAACCGAGGAACUGCAUUUGAUACUGUCGGGCUAGAGUACAGGAGGGGAGAGUGGAAUUCCUGGUGGAGCGGUGAAAUGCGUAGAUAUCAGGAGGAACGCCGGCGGCGAAAGCGACUCUCUGGCCUGUUACUGACGCUGAGGCGCGAAAGCUAGGGGAGCAAACGGG